rnacentral:rRNA from 1 species
UUCGGUUCUAACUGACACUGAGGCGCGAAAGCGUGGGGAGCAAACAGGAUAGAUACCCUGGUAGUCCACGCCGUAAACGAUGAGUGCUAAGUGUUAGAGGGUUUCCGCCCUUUAGUGCUGAAGUUAACGCAUUAAGCACUCCGCCUGGGGAGUACGGCCGCAAGGCUGAAACUCAAAGGAAUUGACGGGGGCCCGCACAAGCGGUGGAGCAUGUGGUUUAAUUCGAAGCAACGCGAAGAACCUUACCAGGUCUUGACAUCCUCUGACAACCCUAGAGAUAGGGCUUCUCCUUCGGGAGCAGAGUGACAGGUGGUGCAUGGUUGUCGUCAGCUCGUGUCGUGAGAUGUUGGGUUAAGUCCCGCAACGAGCGCAACCCUUGAUCUUAGUUGCCAUCAUUAAGUUGGGCACUCUAAGGUGACUGCCGGUGACAAACCGGAGGAAGGUGGGGAUGACGUCAAAUCAUCAUGCCCCUUAUGACCUGGGCUACACACGUGCUACAAUGGACGGUACAAAGAGCUGCAAGACCGCGAGGUGGAGCUAAUCUAAUAAAACCGUUCUCAGUUCGGUUGUAGGCUGCAACUCGCCUACAUAAUAGCUGGAAUCGCUAGUAAUCGCGGAUCAGCAUGUCCUGGUGUAUACGUUCCCGGGCCUUGUGCACACCGCCCUCACACCACGAGAGUUUGUAACACCCGAGUCGUGAGUAACCUUUUGGAGCCAGCCGCCUAAGGUGGGACAGUGAUUGGGUGAAUCUAACAAGUAGCCUAUCGGAGGUGCGGCUGGUCA